rnacentral:rRNA from 1 species
UCGAGAAUCUUCCACAAUGGACGAAAGUCUGAUGGAGCGACGCCGCGUGAUGGAUGAAGUCCCUAGGGACGUAAACAUCUUUUAGAGCCGAGAAAGUUUAUUGAUAGUAGGCUCAGAAUAAGGGGUUGCUAAACUCGUGCCAGCAGCAGCGGUAAUACGAGUGCCCCGAGCGUUAUCCGGAAUCAUUGGGCGUAAAGGGUGUGUAGGUGGCAGUGUUAGUCAAACGUUAAAACCUGGGGCUCAACCCCAGACUCGCGUUCGAUACGGCACAGCUAGAGGAUGGCAGGGAUGUAUGGAACUCAUGGAGUAGGGGUGAAAUCCGUUGAUAUCAUGGGGAACACCAAAAGCGAAGGCAGUACAUUGGGCCACUCCUGACACUGAAACACGAAAGCGUGGGUAGCGAAUGGGAUUAGAUACCCCCGUAGUCC